rnacentral:ncRNA from 1 species
GGCAUCGGUGACUCGUACGGGGCCCGUCGACGGCGCGAUUCGGUCGUGUCGAGAUGCAAGGGCCCGCGGUGUCGUCAGCGCUCGGGCGGGAGACGCUCCAUG